AUGGAAGAGGUGGCGGCAGCAGCUGCCGCAGGUGAAUUUGGAUUCACCGUGGAGGAGGCAGAGGCAGCAGAGGCGGAAAGCCUUGCCGAGCGCGAGGAGUUCGCCGGCGAGGAAGAGCUUGUCGGGCCUGAAGACGAGCCGAGCGAGCCCGGCAAGGGAGAUCUUGUCGGGCCCGAUCCUUCAGACAGUUUGCCGCAAGUGGAGCCCCCAGCUGCACCAAGAAGGCAUCUCCGUAGGGCCGGGGACGUAACGGGGCGGCAAACGGGCCAACAGCCGCCGCAGCGCGCGACGCGCUCCACCGCGGCAAGCUCUGUUACUGCGGGAGCACCUCACGCCGCUGCAGCAACUGGAGCGGGGCCCUCCCGGACCACUGCUUCUGAUCCUGCCAAGCAGCCCAGGGAGCCUACUCUUCCACCUCGCCGCACUGGAGGCGAGCCGGACUUCGAUCUCUCCGCGCUCAGCUCCGACGAGGAAGAAGAAGAGACUUUGACCCAGAGAGCAGCGAAGAGGGCCAAGGUCCCGGUGAUCGUCAUCGAGGACGAACCCUCAGCGACAGCAGGAGAUGACUCCGAGGCCACCUUGUCGGACCCGGCAACCAUUCCUCAAAGCAGCCCCCGGCGUAGCCCCCAGCCAGGUGUUGACAGAUGGUGGGCGCGGGUCGAGAGCGCUCCGGGGCUCCUACCUCGGUGCGUGGUGGGAGGGGUAGUUCCAUUCCCCCCCAUAGCCUCCGGAGAGCGCUAG
rnacentral:rRNA from 1 species